GAGUGACUCUAACUCUUUAUAUA
rnacentral:snRNA from 1 species